ACGAACGCUGGCGGCGUGCCUAAUCCAUGCAAGUAGCACGCUGAAGAGAGGAGCUUGCUCUUCUUGGAUGAGUUGCGAACGGGUGAGUAACGCGUAGGUAACCUGCCUUGUAGCGGGGGAUAACUAUUGGAAACGAUAGCUAAUACCGCAUAACAAUGGAUGACACAUGUCAUUUAUUUGAAAGGGGCAAUUGCUCCACUACAAGAUGGACCUGCGUUGUAUUAGCUAGUAGGUGAGGUAAUGGCUCACCUAGGCGACGAUACAUAGCCGACCUGAGAGGGUGAUCGGCCACACUGGGACUGAGACACGGUCCAGACUCCUACGGGAGGCAGCAGUAGGGAAUCUUCGGCAAUGGGGGCAACCCUGACCGAGCAACGCCGCGUGAGUGAAGAAGGUUUUCGGAUCGUAAAGCUCUGUUGUAAGUCAAGAACGGGUGUGAGAGUGGAAAGUUCACACUGUGACGGUAGCUUACCAGAAAGGGACGGCUAACUACGUG
rnacentral:rRNA from 1 species